GCCCGAAAGCCUUGCGGCACAACGAUUUCAGUUCGGACUUAAAAUCCGCCGGGGGCAACCCCAUGCCGGUUCGAUUCCGGCUCCGGGCACCA
rnacentral:tRNA from 1 species